rnacentral:rRNA from 1 species
CCUACGGGAGGCAGCAGUGAGGAAUAUUGGUCAAUGGGCGCGAGCCUGAACCAGCCAAGUAGCGUGAAGGAUGACUGCCCUACGGGUUGUAAACUUCUUUUAUAAAGGAAUAACGUGCCGUACGUGUGCGUCUUUGUAUGUACUUUAUGAAUAAGGACCGGCUAAUUCCGUGCCAGCAGCCGCGGUAAUACGGAGGAUCCGAGCGUUAUCCGGAUUUAUUGGGUUUAAAGGGAGCGUAGAUGGGUUGUGAAGUGUGUUGUGAAAUGUUGGGGCUCAACCGGAGCAUUGCAAUGGAUACUGGCGGGCUUGAGUGCAGGGGAGGGAGGCGGAAUUCGUGGUGUAGCGGUGAAAUGCUUAGAUAUGACGAAGAACUCCGAUUGCGAAGGCAGCUUGCUGAAGUGGCACUGACGUUGAUGCUCGAAAGUGUGGGUAUCGAACAGGAUUAGAUACCCUUGUAGUC